UAAAGAUAUAUGUCUGGCGGA
rnacentral:siRNA from 1 species